rnacentral:rRNA from 1 species
AGCGAAAGCUAGUUGUAUUAACUAUUAGUUAAUGCAAGAUCGAUUAUGUCGACUAAAGUUCUAGGUAGAAUAAUGAUGAUGACAAUUUUCUACCUAUAUGUCUUGACCAAGUCUCGUGCCAGCAGUCGCGGUAAUACGUGGAAGACUAGUGUUAUUCAUCUUUAAUAGGUUUAAAGGGUACCUAGACGGUAUUUCUAGCCCAAAAUAGGGUACGGAUUUACUAGAGUUUUAUGUGAGGAGGGGAGUACUCGUGGAGUAGAGAUGAAAUUUUGUGAUACUACGAGGAAACUGGUGGCGGCGAAAGCAACCUUCUAUGUAUAAACUGACGUUGAGGGACGAAGGCUUGGGUAGCAAAUAGGAUUAGAUACCCUAGUAGUCCAAGCAGACAAUUCUGAAUGCCAUAGAUUAGAUUAUUUUUGGUCUAUAAAUGAAAGUGUAAGCAUUCCACCUUAAGAGUAAUGUGGCAACACAGGAACUGAAAUCAUUAGACCGUUUCUGAAACCAGUAGUGAAGUAUGUUAUUUAAUUUGUUGGUCCUCAAAAAACCUUACCACAACUUGAAUAUUAUUCAAUUAAUACAAGCGUUGCACGGCUGUCUUCAGUUAAUGUCGUGAGAUUUUGGUUAACUCCAUUAAUUAACGUAAACCCUUACUUUAUUU